rnacentral:rRNA from 1 species
UACGUAGGGCGCAAGCGUUGUCCGGAAUUAUUGGGCGUAAAGAGCUCGUAGGCGGCUUGUCGCGUCGACUGUGAAAUCCCGCGGCUCAACCGCGGGUCUGCAGUCGAUACGGGCAGGCUAGAGUUCGGUAGGGGAGACUGGAAUUCCUGGUGUAGCGGUGAAAUGCGCAGAUAUCAGGAGGAAUACCGAUGGCGAAGGCAGGUCUCUGGGCCGAUACUGACGCUGAGGAGCGAAAGCGUGGGGAGCGAACAGG